rnacentral:rRNA from 1 species
UACGUAGGGGGCUAGCGUUGUCCGGAAUCAUUGGGCGUAAAGAGCGUGUAGGCGGCCCGGUAAGUCCGCUGUGAAAGUCGGGGGCUCAACCCUCGAAUGCCGGUGGAUACUGUGGGCUAGAGUGCGGAAGAGGCGAGUGGAAUUCCUGGUGUAGCGGUGAAAUGCGCAGAUAUCAGGAAGAACACCCGUGGCGAAGGCGGCUCUCUGGGACGGUACUGACGCUGAGACGCGAAAGCGUGGGGAGCGAACAGG